GGAAAUUUCAUUGUAAUCAAUUUUUACAGAAUCAGCAGUUUGUAUCCUUCUAACUAUUGCCUGUAAAAAGUAGAAAAAGAACAGAGAAGCUAAAUCAAAGGCAUUUCAUUGCUUCAGCAACUAAUUUCUGGAUAAUAUCCCAUAAGAACUUGGCAGAUAUAUCUCUAAGUUACAAACAGCUAAAUUUCUAAGAAAAAGUUUUUUCGAACUGUAGC
rnacentral:misc_RNA from 1 species